rnacentral:ribozyme from 13 species
CUGUACACAUACUGGGGAAAAAAAAAAAAAAAAAAAAAAAAAAAAAAAAAAAAAAAAAAA